AAGGCACUUUUAUAUCAUCAUCGUUUCCGCAGGCUCCCUAGUCUUCAUUUCUUCACUCACUUGCAGUAUUCAAAGAGGAAUGAAUCAAAAGUUCGGAGGAGGGAGGCAGCCGACUGGUACUCCUUCGUUGGCAUGGUCGUGCGUAGUUGUGAUUGUUUCGCUUCUUUCAGGCGCCUCCGUUGUCCACAACAUCUUCAAGCCGGAUCUAACAUUGCCUCCAGUGGAAACAAAGGAGAAACAGUCUGACAAAUGAUGGAUGCUUCUUUUGGCUCCUAACAACUAGAAUUCGUUUAUUUGAUGAUGUUUCAUUGCUGGGACCGUUGUCUAGAUCCAAAGAUCUUAGUUCUUUACAAAAUGCUGAAUUGCAAAUAUAGGAUGGAAUAUUGAAGAUUGGGAGUUUUGAGAAUUAGAAAUGGGUCAGCUCAAAGUUCAGAAUCGUAGCAUGUGCUGGUGAAUGGAUAUGACUCGCUUGAUCUGUUGUUCAUUGUAAUACAAAACUGAAGAACAAAAUAAAAUCUGUUAGCAGUUUCACAUA